UCUGUGCUCAUCCACACCCCCGUGUGUCCGGGGGCGGGGGGGGGCAGACUGAGUGACACGUCCCCAGAUUGAAUUAAGAGAAACCGACAAACAGCGUCCUCUGUUGUUGACCUGCUAAUUGGCGGCGGUGUUUUGGCCCGACCCCUGCGGCCUCUCUUUAUCUCGCCGCUGCAUUCCGUAAACACCGACAGCGCAGGUGGUGCGUCCGCACAGAGCAGCGUCUACGAGCCUUUGCUCCGGUUGCCAACGAGAUGGCAGACGUGAGCGCCAUCAAGCUCUCGACCUCAACAUCUGCCGUGUCAGCUUGUUAAUUAGCGGCAAACAUCUGUUAGCCUCGGUGCUAAAGGACUGGAGAGUGUGUGAGUGUGUGAGUGUGCAGAGAGAGAGCAGGGCUGGAGAUACGGCCGUAAAAAACCUGGAGUUGGAGACCACACGGCUGUCAGAAGUCAUUUCACAGGGUUUGUGAAAGCAUCGCAGCCACCGGGUGAAGGUGGACUAAACCUUGGACAGAGGCUACAAAUGAAGACAAACAACCGUCCACACUCCCUGUAAAACCUGGAGUGGAUUUAGACUCAAUUUAAAGUCACUUGUCACUUUGGACCUCGGUCUCCACUGACACUUGACAUUUACCAGUCGGUGAAAUACUGCACAGAGUGUUACAGCAGCAGCAGCAGCAGCGUAGAGGCAGGAAGUCAGGCGUCACACUCCUGCUGACAAGCCGUCCUGCAGACGCGGAGGAAACGAGGCCCCGGGAGGAGGCAGAUCUGAGAGUUAAUGAUCUUUCUCUAUGCAGAGGCCACGGUUCAGAAGGCACCGGGGCGAUGGGAAGAGGCAGAACCCCAUUAACUCAGUGACAAGGGAGAGUCGGUAACCAGUAAUACACUCUCUCUCUC